rnacentral:rRNA from 1 species
CAGCAGCCGCGGUAAUACGUAUGUCACAAGCGUUAUCCGGAUUUAUUGGGCGUAAAGCGCGUCUAGGUGGUUAUGUAAGUCUGAUGUGAAAAUGCAGGGCUCAACUCUGUAUUGCGUUGGAAACUGUGUAACUAGAGUACUGGAGAGGUAAGCGGAACUACAAGUGUAGAGGUGAAAUUCGUAGAUAUUUGUAGGAAUGCCGAUGGGGAAGCCAGCUUACUGGACAGAUACUGACGCUAAAGCGCGAAAGCGUGGGUAGCAGACAGGAUUAGAUACCCCUGUAGUCCCUGUCUCUUAUACA